UACGGAGGGAGCUAGCGUUAUUCGGAAUUACUGGGCGUAAAGCGCACGUAGGCGGCUUUGUAAGUUAGAGGUGAAAGCCUGGAGCUCAACUCCAGAACUGCCUUUAAGACUGCAUCGCUUGAAUCCAGGAGAGGUGAGUGGAAUUCCGAGUGUAGAGGUGAAAAUUCGUAGAUAUUCGGAAGAACACCAGUGGCGAAGGCGGCUCACUGGAGCUGGUAUUGACGCUGAGGUGCGAAAGCGUGGGGAGCAAACAGG
rnacentral:rRNA from 1 species